CCUACGGGAGGCAGCAGUGAGGAAUAUUGGUCAAUGGCCGGAAGGCUGAACCAGCCAAGCCGCGUGAAGGACGAAGGUGCCAAGCAUUGUAAACUUCUUUUGUCAGGGAGCAAAGGGCGCCACGUGUGGCGCUUUGCGAGUACCUGAAGAAAAAGCAUCGGCUAACUCCGUGCCAGCAGCCGCGGUAAUACGGAGGAUGCGAGCGUUAUCCGGAUUUAUUGGGUUUAAAGGGUGCGCAGGCGGAAUGUCAAGUCAGCGGUAAAAUUUCGGGGCUAAACCCCGUCGUGCCGUUGAAACUGGCGUUCUUGAGUGAGCGAGAAGUAUGCGGAAUGCGUGGUGUAGCGGUGAAAUGCAUAGAUAUCACGCAGAACUCCGAUUGCGAAGGCAGCAUACCGGCGCUCAACUGACGCUCAUGCACGAAAGCGUGGGUAUCGAACAGGAUUAGAUACCCGUGUAGUC
rnacentral:rRNA from 1 species